rnacentral:rRNA from 1 species
AUGGGCGAAACAGAGGCGGACGAGCGCGGCCUCGCCACCGCCCCCGGCAAACUGGAGGAGGAGGAGAAUUCCCCGAUCGAGGAGGUGCGGCUAACGGUCCCCACUGUCGACGACCCGACGCUGCCGGUGUGGACGUUCCGGAUGUGGAGCAUCGGGCUCUUCUCCUGCUCGCUGCUGAGCUUCCUCAACCAGUUCUUCUCCUACCGGACGGAGCCGCUCGUCAUCACCUCGCUGACGGUGCAAGUGGCGUCGCUGCCCAUGGGCCACUUCCUGGCGCGCGUGCUGCCACGCCGCAAGUUCCGGGCGCCGGCGCUGCUCGGCGGUGGGGAGUGGAGCCUCAACCCGGGGCCCUUCAAUAUGAAGGAGCACGUGCUCAUCUCCAUCUUCGCCAAUGCCGGCUACGCCUUCGGCAACGGCAACGCCUACGCCGUCAUGAUCGUCGACAUCAUCCGCGCCUUCUACGGCCGCUCCAUCUCCUACAUCGCCGCCUGGCUCCUCAUCAUCACCACCCAGGUGCUUGGGUACGGGUGGGCCGGGCUGAUGCGCAAGUACGUGGUGGAGCCGGCCCACAUGUGGUGGCCGAGCACGCUCGUCCAGGUCUCGCUCUUCCGGGCACUGCACGAGAAGGAAGAGUUCGCCAAGGGCUCGCGCCAAAUCUCACGCUUCAAGUUCUUUCUGGUGGUGCUCAUCUGCAGCUUCUCGUAUUACGCCCUGCCAGGCUUCAUCUUCCAGAGCCUGACGUCCAUCGCAUGGGUGUGCUGGGCGUUCCCCAAGUCGGUGACCGCGCAGCAGCUCGGCUCCGGCCUCAAAGGCCUGGGCCUCGGAGCCUUCACCCUCGACUGGGAGACCGUCGCCUCCUACCUCGGCAGCCCGCUCAUCACGCCCUUCUUCGCCAUCGCCAACAUCUUCGUCGGCUACGUCUUCUUCGUCUGGGUGCUGGUGCCCACGGCGUACUGGGGCACCAACCUGUACCACGCCAAGACGUUCCCCAUCUUCUCCACGCAGCUCUUCAUGUCCAACGGGACGGACUACGACAUCGACGCCAUUGUGAACAAGCAGUUCGAGCUCGACAUUGACGCUUACGGGAAGCUCGGCAUGGUGAACAUCAGCACCUUCUUUGCGCUCUCUUACGGGCUCAGCUUCGCCACCAUCGCCGCCACCAUCUCGCACGUCGGCCUCUUCUACGGGAAGGAGAUCUACCAGCGGUUCAGAGUUUCGCGGCGGGAGGAUCCUGACGUCCACACGAAGCUGAUGAGGACGUACGAGGACAUACCGGCGUGGUGGUUCUACUCGCUGACGGUACUGUCGAUGGCAGUGGCCCUCAUCCUCUGCACCGUCCUCAUCGACCAGGUUCAGCUCCCAUGGUGGGGCCUCGUCUUCGCCUGUGGCAUGUCCUUCGUCUUCACCCUCCCCAUAAGCAUUAUCACGGCAACCACGAACCAGUCGCCUGGUCUGAAUGUCAUCGCGGAGUACGCCAUGGGGCUGAUAAGGCCCGGCUACCCCAUCGCCAAUGUCUGCUUCAAGGUGUAUGGUUACAUGAGCAUGUCACAGGCCGUCGCCUUCCUCUCGGACUUCAAGCUUGGCCACUACAUGAAGAUACCCCCCAGAUCAAUGUUCGUUGUUCAGUUCGUCGGUACAAUUGUGGCCGGCACAAUCAACCUCAGCGUGGCAUGGUGGCUGCUCGGCUCCGUGGAGAACAUCUGCCAUAUCGAAAAGCUCUCGGCGAAUAGCCCAUGGACGUGCCCCAACGACCGGGUCUUCUUCGACGCGUCGGUCAUCUGGGGCCUCGUUGGUCCACGGCGCAUUUUCGGGCCGCUUGGCAACUACGCAGCCAUCAACUACUUCUUCCUCAUCGGCGCCGCGUCUCCGUUCGUCGUCUACAUCUUCCACAGGAUAUUCCCCGACAAGAAAUGGAUACUGCUGAUCAACCUGCCGGUGCUCAUCAACGCGACGGCCAGCAUGCCGCCGGCGACGGCCGUGAACUACAACUCGUGGCUGCUCGUCGGGACCAUCUUCAACUUCUUUGUGUUCCGGUACCGGAAGAGGUGGUGGCAGCGGUACAACUACAUCUUCUCCGCCGCGAUGGACGCAGGGGUCGCCUUCAUGGCGGUGCUGCUCUACUUCGCGCUCACCAUGCAGAACCGGAACAUUGUUUGGUGGGGCACGGCCGGCGAGCACUGCCCUCUGGCCAUAUGCCCCACCGCUAAAGGGGUCGACCUGGGUCCGGAAAGUGUGUGCCCUGUGUUCUAA